CUCUUCGGAGUUAGUGGCGGACGGGUGAGUAACACGUGGGAAGAGCCUUUUGGUUCGGAAUAACUCAGGGAAACUUGUGCUAAUACCGAAUGUGCCCUUCGGGGGAAAGAUUUAUCGCCAUUAGAGCGGCCCGCGUCUGAUUAGCUAGUUGGUGAGGUAAAAGCUCACCAAGGCGACGAUCACUAGCUGGUCUGAGAGGAUGACCACCCACACUGGGACUGAAACACAGCCCAGACUCCUACGGGAGGCAGCGGUGGGGAAUCUUGCGCAAUGGGCGAAAGCCUGACGCAGCCAUGCCGCGUGAAUGAUGAAGGUCUUAUGAUUGUAAAAUUCUUUCACCGGGGACGAUAAUGACGGUACCCGGAGAAGAAUCCCCGGCUAACUUCGUGCCAGCAGCCGCGGUAAUACGAAGGGGGCUAGCGUUGCUCGGAAUUACUGGGCGUAAAGGGCGCGUAGGCGGAUCGUUAAGUCAGAGGUGAAAUCCCAGGGCUCAACCCUGGAACUGCCUUUGAUACUGGCGAUCUUGAGUAUGAGAGAGGUAUGUGGAACUCCGAGUGUACAGGUGAGAUUCGUAGAUAUUCGGAAGAACACCAGUGGCGAAGGCGACAUACUGUCUCAUUACUGACGCUGAGGCGCGAAAGCGUGGGGAGCAAACAGGAUU
rnacentral:rRNA from 1 species